rnacentral:rRNA from 1 species
UGCGGGGGGGGCAAGCGUUGUUCGGAAUUACUGGGCGUAAAGGGCUCGUAGGUGGCCAACUAAGUCGGACGUGAAAUCCCUCAGCUUAACUGGGGAACUGCGUCCGAUACUGGAUGGCUCGAGUUUGGGAGAGGGAUGCGGAAUUCCAGGUGUAGCGGUGAAAUGCGUAGAUAUCUGGAGGAACACCGGUGGCGAAGGCGGCAUCCUGGACCAACACUGACACUGAGGAGCGAAAGCCAGGGGAGCAAACAGG